rnacentral:lncRNA from 1 species
UCAAGCCAUAGCCUUCUGCAUCGUCGGAUUUGGAUUCGUUGGCACCCAUGUUUCUUCUUUUUGAUCGGAAUCCGCCACCGCAUAGCUUUCUUUUCCCUUAUUUUGCUGCCGUGCUUCCCUCUAUAAUUAUCAUUCCUCCAUAUUUCAUUUUCAUUACAUUUUAUAUUAUGAUGUAUAAUGUGCUUUUUUUUCCUCUACCCAAAUUCGUUGCUCUACAGUCUAUAUAUGUUUGUAAAGAGAGAAAAAGAAAAAAAGAGACGACAAAUUAUGCCUCUUUUUUUUCUUUUCUUUUAAGUUUUUUAUUUUUUUGACAUAAAAAUAGAUAAGUUGAGGAAGUCAAUGUGAAUAUAUUUGUGUGAAAGAAGAAUACUCAACAAUUUACAACCAAUCUUUCUGCCAUUGUUGAUUUUGGAACUCUGUCUUCUUAGAAAUAAUUCAACCUCAAAUUUUGGGGUUAAUCCAACGAGUCUAUGACUAGAUGAAUUAUGUUGGUGUUGACUUUUGGAUCUUAGCAUCUUCUUUACAAUUUUGUAAUUAUUAUUAUUGUUCUUUUACCCUUCAUUUGUUAUGUGUACUCUCUUGUGUUUUAUAAAUACAAAUAAACAGUUGGAAAAUGAGAGGAGAGAUAUGUGUUUGUUCUCCAAUUGCUUUGUAACGCCCUCUUUCUUUUAUAGAUUUUCUAUAAUGUCAAUGAUAGGAUUUUUAUUUCCUAUUUCACAUGGAGUAAUGUAUACUGUAAUACAUUCUUCUUUAAAGCUCAGUUGUGAUGUUGUUAGCUUCUCCUAUUUAGUGUAAUGUUUUUAGAAGGAUUUUUUUGCUACUUUAAAAAAAAAUUACAAAUAAACAAAAACUGUCAUAAUUUAUCAACAAUAAAAUUAUACAUCAAUAGAGUUAAUUUAUAAAAUUGCUACCCAUGGGAAUAUUUUGGAAGUUCUUGGGCUCAUACACACAUAUUAGUAAUAAGUUGGGCUUAUAUUUUGGGCUUGUGCUCCCACGACUAAUCCUCACUUUUGAAAAGGCAAUACAUUUGUCAUUUGCUUUAUACCUUAGUCUAUUAUUAUAUUCUGUGUUUUCAAACAAGUAUUUGGUAGUCGUUCAAUAAAUAAAAAAAAUGUUAGAUUUCAAUUUCAAACUGGGAUUAUUUCAAAUUAAAGCAUCAACUUAUUUCAUAUUUUAGAUGUGAGACCUAAUUUAUCUUCUGAUUUAUUUUGGUAAUAUCUUGUAUAGUUGUCUCUAUCGGCCACCUCGGAUGGUAACAAUAACCACUCUCAAAAACCUACUCCCACGAAACUUCUAGCAACCAAUUUCAUGACUCGACAACCACCAAUGGCCAUAUCUGAUUAUCAACUUCAACAAAACCUAUUCCAUUUUUACCAACUAAAAUUGAUCAAUUCCAACUACAAACUCCGAUGAGAGUGUUUUUAAAUAGAAUGUGAAAACUAUUAAUUCACUUGUAUUUUAAACUUUGAGCAUUUUUAUAGGCAAUCCAAAUUUCAAACAUAUACUAAAGUAUCAAUAAUCAAGCUCGAUAUUUAUCAUUAGGAGUAUAAGUCCAACAUGAACAACUUGACAACCCAUACUACCCAAUCUAAUAUUAUACAAGUUGGAUUGAAAAUUUUGGUUUUUUUUUGGGUUGGGUUGGAUCUCAGGUUGAAAGGUUGAAAAUUUUGAUUCAACCAAAACCCAACUCAAAUUAAUAUAUAUAUUAUUUAUUUAAUAAAAGUAAAGUUAUGAGUACUUUGUUAAAUGAUCGUGUAGGAAGUUAAAUGAUCAUAUAGAAAAUUAACCGAUUGAAACUAAUAAACCAUAGUUGGGUUGAGAAUGAAAAAAAAAAUAGUACAAUUCAUAUUUUACAAAUUGGGUUGAAAAAUUAAUCUAGGUUAUUCCGAUUAUCAAUUCAACUAAUUCGAAAAUAUGAGUUGGAUUGAGAAUGUCUUUCAAUUAGUUUACAUCCCUAUUCAUCAUGCUAUAGCUAAUGUUGCUCGGGAAAAAAAAGAUAACAAGAGUAUUCCAUGCCAUAGGGCUCACAAUAUUUUGUAUGUGAGAAUAUGACUAAAAAGACAAAUAAUGCAACAAACUUGAACUUCACGUGAUUCGAUUUGGUGUAAAUUCACAAGGUUCUUCAUACAUGUGAUAUGCCCAAUUUUAAAAUUAACAUAUUCCACGCCAAAUUUCAUUAUUUUCCCUACUUUUGAAUAACUAAUAUAUAUAUAUUACUAAUCUAAUUUUAUCUUUGUAUUAUGAAAUUGGUUUAAAUUUACUUCAUGAUAUUUUACAUCUCUUAUGGUAAUAUUUGUGGUUUAUGUAACAAAUUUUGAAUUUAGUCUCUUGUUUUUUAAUACCAAAUUUAGAUAAACAGUUAGAGCAGUUUUUAUACAUUGUGUCAAUUUACAAAGAAUGAAAAUGGUAUUUUAAUCUAUAUAUAGUUUUUAUAGACAUUUGACUAACACAUUUAGUUAUGAGUAACUUUGGAUCAAAAAAGAAAUAGAAGAUAAAAAGAGAGUUUACCUUAUCCCAAAUCUUUGAGAUCGGCAAGAAGCAACAUCUAAGUGAAUUUUGAUAGAAUUGAAGAAAGAGAAAGUGGGUUGUAUUAUUGCCCAAUUAAGC